rnacentral:rRNA from 1 species
GCAAGUCGAACGAACUCUGGUAUUGAUUGGUGCUUGCAUCAUGAUUUACAUUUGAGUGAGUGGCGAACUGGUGAGUAACACGUGGGAAACCUGCCCAGAAGCGGGGGAUAACACCUGGAAACAGAUGCUAAUACCGCAUAACAACUUGGACCGCAUGGUCCGAGUUUGAAAGAUGGCUUCGGCUAUCACUUUUGGAUGGUCCCGCGGCGUAUUAGCUAGAUGGUGGGGUAACGGCUCACCAUGGCAAUGAUACGUAGCCGACCUGAGAGGGUAAUCGGCCACAUUGGGACUGAGACACGGCCCAAACUCCUACGGGAGGCAGCAGUAGGGAAUCUUCCACAAUGGACGAAAGUCUGAUGGAGCAACGCCGCGUGAGUGAAGAAGGGUUUCGGCUCGUAAAACUCUGUUGUUAAAGAAGAACAUAUCUGAGAGUAACUGUUCAGGUAUUGACGGUAUUUAACCAGAAAGCCACGGCUAACUACGUGCCAGCAGCCGCGGUAAUACGUAGGUGGCAAGCGUUGUCCGGAUUUAUUGGGCGUAAAGCGAGCGCAGGCGGUUUUUUAAGUCUGAUGUGAAAGCCUUCGGCUCAACCGAAGAAGUGCAUCGGAAACUGGGAAACUUGAGUGCAGAAGAGGACAGUGGAACUCCAUGUGUAGCGGUGAAAUGCGUAGAUAUAUGGAAGAACACCAGUGGCGAAGGCGGCUGUCUUGGUCUGUAACUGACGCUGAGGCUC